rnacentral:rRNA from 1 species
GAUGAACGCUGGCGGCGUGCCUAAUACAUGCAAGUCGAGCGAAUGGAUUAAGAGCUUGCUCUUAUGAAGUUAGCGGCGGACGGGUGAGUAACACGUGGGUAACCUGCCCAUAAGACUGGGAUAACUCCGGGAAACCGUGGCUAAUACCGGAUAACAUUUUGAACCGCAUGGUUCGAAAUUGAAAGGCGGCUUCGGCUGUCACUUAUGGAUGGACCCGCGUCGCAUUAGCUAGUUGGUGAGGUACAGGCUCACCAAGGCAACGAUGCGUAGCCGACCUGAGAGGAUGAGCGGCCACGCUGGGACUGAGACCCGGCCCAGACUCCUACGGGGGGCAGCAGGAGGUAAUCUUCCGCAAUGGACGAAAGUCUGACGGAGCAACGCCGCGUGAGUGAUGAAGGCUUUCGGGUCGUAAAACUCUGUUGUUAGGGAAGAACAAGUGCUAGUUGAAUAAGCUGACACCUUGACGGUACCUAACCAGAAAGCCACGGCUAACUACGUGCCAGCCGCCGCGGUAA